GCUACUUCCUGUGAGCAGCCCAGGGAUGGCCAGUCACUUGUGACCUACUUUCAGAGCUGGCAGUUCUGACUUCUAGAACAAACUCGGAACAAGCCCAUCUACAGCUGGUUGACUGAGUUUCCUUUGGGCUCCUGGCACCAGAAAGAAUUGCUCACUGGAAGGAUCAUAGGUGGCACUCAUGUCUCACUGCCCCACUCAGGCGGAGUGCGGUGACGCUCGCCUAUAAUCCCAGAAUUUUGAGAGGCCAAGGUGGGCAGCUCACUUGAGCUCGGGAAUUCGAGACCAGCCUGGGCAACAUGGCAAAACCCCAUCUCUACAAAAAAUACAAAAAUUAGCCAGGCAUGGUGGUGUGCACCUGUAGUCCCAGAUACCUGGAGGCUGAGGUGGAAGGAUCAUUUGAGCCUGGGAGGCAGAGGUUGCAGUGAGCCAAGAUCGCAUCACUGCACUCCAGCCUGAGUGACAGUGAGACUCU
rnacentral:lncRNA from 1 species